rnacentral:lncRNA from 1 species
UCAUAAUUAAGUGCCUGGGCAACAGGGUCAAAUGUCUAAAUGAGACUCCUGGCCCUGGGGCCUUGUGCAUGCCUUUUAAAUUCUCUGUGCCUCAGUUCUCUUCUGUGAAACUGGGCUAAUGAGGGGAUUGAUCUCUCAGAGAAUUCCAGGGAGUUAAGGGGGAAAUAAAUGCAGCAUGCUCUUUACAUGGCAAGAGGUCAACAAAUGUCCUUUUCCCCGUCACCUUUCUACUUAAACUCAUUGUUCAACUCGGCAUCUACUGAGCAUCUACUGGUGUCUUAUUUUUGUGUUAGGAUCUGAGGAUAAACAGAGAUAAGUGAGACACAGUGUCCGCCCUCAAGGAGCUUGUGGUGAAGGGCAGGGGAGAUGAACGAGCAAACAGCACAUGGCAUCGCACUGGGUUAGAGCUUUGAAGGAAGCGAGCACAGGUGAUGAAGGAACAAGAGGAAGGCUCCAUUUUGCAGCCAGUGGCACAGGAGUCUUGGUGGGCAGUCGAAGAUGCCAGAUACUCUUUCUCCUAGCUCUUCUUCUAACUAUGAGACGGUUCUAUACCCCAGGGGCGAAAACACCACCUGAGCUUCAGAUCAGGAACUGGUGAUGUGAGGAGCAGGGACUGCAAGGAAGAGUUUCCUGUGGCCUGGUGACUGAAGAGAGCAACAUCAUUCCUGGCUGUGUGGGAGUGGGACCGCACAUCAGCUAGGGCUGGCUCUGUCAUCAGUGUAAGGCCCGAGGUCAGGGCUAGAAGAGGAAGGACUUGUGUCAGCACUCCACCAGUUCUGUGCCAUGACCUUGGGGCUGUUCCUGGCGGCAUUGCCCCCAGCCAGGUUCCUGAGACUUCACAGCCAUCCAUUGAAUGAGCUAUUAUGCAUCUCCUUCAAAAGCUAUGUUUUCUCCUUCAAAAGUAGCAUAGGUUUUAUUUUUAGUUCAACAAAAAAAAAGACUAGGUGACAGAAACAUUUUCUUUUUCAUCCUGCCACCCUAUCCCCCAAAUUUGGAGUUUGCAAUUUUUAUAAGGUUUGCAUGACGAUAAAUAAGAAAUAGAAAUGUUAUUAAAAUUGAAGUGAAUUUCCUUUUGGGCUGUGGAAAAUAAUGAAAAAGCUAUUUCAUCUGUUUUCUUUCUUAUUUCAAAAUAUAAGAUGGAAGAUGAGGCCGCUUGCUGUUUUGACAUCGUCAGGCAUGUCUGAGAUGCCCUCGGUGUUCUCACGUUACCGCAACAGGGACGAAAGAAAAGGUUCCAUCCCUCUCUUCUGCUUUGUCUGCGGAGAGCGCUAAAAAGACCAGCACCUCCUUGGGACGUUUCCCUUUUCCUGCAAAGCAAUCUCUUUUUCCUGCCUAAAAAUAUGUUUACUAAAAUGAACUGAUUUAUGCAGGAAAAAAAUUAACAUGCCUUCUUGGGAUAGAUUGCUCCCAAAAGAUUAUAAUAUAUAGGUAAAGUCGUAAUCCAAAUCACAGGCCUUUAUCUGUACUGUCUCUCCCUUUUUAAGUUUUUCCUUUGCUUUUAUUUUUUUUAAUUAAAGUUAAUUAUGGACAAAAUUUGGAGAAUCAAAUAACUUUGCAAAGUCAGUUACACCAAGCAGAAGCAUCUGUCCCCAUCUCUU